rnacentral:rRNA from 1 species
GACGGAAGGUGCAAGCGUUGCUCGGAAUCACUGGGCGUAAAGGGUGCGUAGGCGGCCGUGCAAGUCUGGCGUGAAAGCCCCGGGCUCAGCCCGGGAAGUGCGCUCGAAACUGCGCGGCUCGAGUGCCGGAGGGGAGAGUGGAAUUCCUGGUGUAGCGGUGAAAUGCGUAGAUAUCGGGAGGAACACCAGUGGCGAAGGCGACUACCUGGCCCAUUCUUGACGCUGAGGCGCGAAAGCUAGGGGAGCGAACGGG